rnacentral:rRNA from 1 species
UAUGGCGACCGGCGCACGGGUGAGUAACACGUAUCCAACCUGCCGAUGACUCGGGGAUAGCCUUUCGAAAGAAAGAUUAAUACCCGAUGGCAUAGUUCUUCCGCAUGGUAGAACUAUUAAAGAAUUUCGGUCAUCGAUGGGGAUGCGUUCCAUUAGGUUGUUGGCGGGGUAACGGCCCACCAAGCCUUCGAUGGAUAGGGGUUCUGAGAGGAAGGUCCCCCACAUUGGAGCUGAGACACGGUCCAA